rnacentral:lncRNA from 1 species
AACAUUUUGUACAACUUACAGCGCCCAAAACAUACACAUAUGUUACACAAGUUCUACAACCCACGUCAUCCAGUCUACGGAGCCUCUAAGACAAAGAAAAUGAUACAAUACUUGCCGGCGACAAGGCCCCGGCUAUACCUUUACAAACAUGACACAAAACUCCAAAAUACAAUAAUAGGGGUGGCAUGAGCCACGCAAGGCCCCGGAAGGAAAGGCGCUCACCAAUUACCAACACUGCCGAAAAGGAAAGAGGAGGAGCUAUGAACGGUGGACUGGAGUUCCUGCCGUGGAUCCACCUACAAUAAUAACACGAAUGUAGC